rnacentral:lncRNA from 1 species
GUCUACAUUGACCAUGUCCAUAACAUGCAUUGGCAUCUGAUUUUUGUCAAAAAAAGAUCAGCAUCUAACCUUGGUUACAUCUUUUUGAUCUUACAACAAGUGCCACCGAUACAAACACAAUUUUGGAUUUUAUCAGAAAAAAAUUUAAAAUUUAAUAACUUUAAAGCAAAAUUUAAUCAAAUAAUUUACAAGGUCAUUAUCACGAACUCCACAUCCCCUG